UAAACAUCGACAGUUAAUUACACCCACUGUCCGCCUGGGAACUACGAGCACCAGCUUAAAACCCAAAGGACUUGGCGGUGCUUUAGACCCACCUAGAGGAGCCUGUUCUAGAACCGAUAAUCCCCGUUAAACCUCACCCUUCCUUGUCAUUUCCGCCUAUAUACCACCGUCGCCAGCUUACCCUGUGAAGGCCCAAUAGUAAGCGCAAUCGGCAAUGCCCAAAACGUCAGGUCGAGGUGUAGCGAAUGGAAGGGGAAGAAAUGGGCUACAUUUACUAACACAGUAAAUACGGAUGAUUACCCUGCAACGAGUAUCUGAAGGAGGAUUUAGCAGUAAGCAAAAAGCAGAGUGUUUUGCUGAAAUUGGC
rnacentral:rRNA from 1 species